UCGAGUAGGGCCCAAGCAAGCCAGGAAGGAGGAGGCAGCCAGAGUGUUCUCUGCAGCAGAAGACCACUUGCGGCCCUGCUUAACCCAGACCAGCAUUUGCCAGCAGGAACAUCCAUAACCAUUCUGGUUUGGUUUGAUGGAACUACCCUGGAAAGCAUUCAAAUGUCUAUAGUGAAUAUAGAAAACCAAAAGGCCUUUAACAAGGGGAGUAAACCAAUUCUCUCCAUGUUCUAUAGGGGGGAAGCUGAAUUAUUUCCUCCAGUAUUUUGCAAAACUGAUGAAAGAUAGGUGCAUUCCACUGCUUGAUCCCAAAAUAAAUCAAACAUUGUGCCCAUAGAAGGGUUUUGAUCAUUUCUAAUUGUUAUCACAUGCUUCUGCUUAUCCAAAACAUAGUAUACUAACACAGAGAAAGUAUUCUAAAUGGACCAUAGUAUAAAGAAGCAAUAGACAGCUGGAUGAUGACAACUAUCUAUAAUUUUCAUUCAAGUUUUCACCAGAUCAGUUUCACUAGCUGAUAGACAAAGCUUCUUUUAAGUAAGGGAAGGGUGGCUUGCCUCUUUUGCAGUGGGAACUGCUGUGGUGAAAAUGAAAUUUCCAUUUGUGGUAUUCUUGCCCAAACGUGAAUAUAGACUCUUUUCUUCAUAGCCAUGAUGCCAUAUUGAAGGAUCUGAAAAAAGAAGUAUAAUUACGUGCAUUAACUCCUUGGGGAAUGAAAAUCUACACAGCAACAGAAGUAUCAACUGUGCCAUGUGACCUCUUCUAAAUCCCACGGCAAAAGAACUUGCAUACAUGUUGGAGAUGUUGAAUGAUUUAGAGAAGAGUUGUACUGAAGUCACUUGUACAGCUUUGGUUUUGUGUAAGAUUAUUUCAGCUCUUCGUGGAUUCUCUCACUCUCUCUCUCUGCAUUCUCCAUCAGCUCCUGCCUUCCUAAGGCUUCUCUGGUGAUUUUAUGAUUCCAGACUGAGAAGCAGCUUCUUUUGGAAAAGCCUCAAUGACUAUGUUUUUGCAUUAAUUGCCUAAUUUAUCCUUUUCACUAAUAAAAAUGAUAACUACUUUUAAACUCAGUUGCCAGAAGCCUUGCAAGGAGGAGGAGGCUUUAACAUCUGCUUCCCAGAGACAGCUGCCGCCCAGUGAUGAGAGCCUGUGUGGUUGCUGUCUGCUGUUGUCAGCCUGCCAGCCUGUGUGCCCCCUAAUGUGUGGGGCUGUGGCUGCUGCCCUGUGGGUGAGUCUGUGUGGGAUCAGGGCCAGAGGAAGUGAGUCAGCAGUUCUUGAUGGUCAGCUGCCCAGAUUAGCCAUCUUUCUGGGCUUAUAAAAGGGCUGUUGCCCUGUGGUGGAGGGCCCGCCACCAAAGGGGUGACAUCAAAGGGGGUUGCCCCUUUGGGGGAGCCACUUCGGGGGCCAACGAGGGUGAGGGCCUGGUGGUAUCUUUGGCUUCUUUUGUUUUGGGGUCCUAUGUGUUUCAGAUGUGUCUUGAUUUGUCUGGGGAUGGUAGAGAGGGGGUGUGUCCACUUACUCUGGGGUGGCUAUUUCGGUGCUGGUGGGGAAUAAAGAAAAUAAAGUUUGCAAGUCAGUACAUCAUUACAGGGGAAGGGAAGUCAGAAAUCUAUUAGCUGUUUCCCCUUCUGGCUGCCCUGCCAGCUCUUUGACCUUGGGGAGCAGUGCCAACAUCCCACAGACUCUCACCU